rnacentral:rRNA from 1 species
AACGUAGGACGCAAGCGUUAUCCGGAGUUACUGGGCGUAAAGCGCGGGCAGGCGGUUCUGCCAGUCUGAUGUGAAAUCUCCCCGCUCAACGGGGAGCAGCCAUUGGAAACUACAGAACUGGAGUCUGACAGAGGUAGGCGGAAUUCCGGGUGGAGUGGUGAAAUGCGUAGAUAUCGUGAGGAAGACCAGUGGCGUAAGCGAAUCUCUGGACAGUUCCUGACGCUGAGGCACGAAGGCCAGGGGAGCAAACGGG